rnacentral:rRNA from 1 species
UUUCUAUGGAAGCUUGCUUCCACUGAGAAGAUAGUGGCGAACGGGUGAGUAACACGUGGGUAACCUGCCCAUAAGAGGGGGGAUAACAUCCGGAAACGGGUGCUAAUACCGCAUAGUUUUCUUGAUCGCAUGAUCGGGAAGGAAAGACGGCCUUUGUGCUGUCGCUUAUGGAUGGACCCGCGGCGUAUUAGUUAGUUGGUGAGGUAACGGCUCACCAAGACGAUGAUACGUAGCCGACCUGAGAGGGUGAUCGGCACAUUGGGACUGAGACACGGCCCAAACUCCUACGGGAGGCAGCAGUAGGGAAUCUUCCGCAAUGGACGAAAGUCUGACGGAGCAACGCCGCGUGAGUGAAGAAAGGUUUUCGGAUCGUAAAACUCUGUUGUCAGAGAAGAACAAGUUGGAGAGUAACUGCUCCAGCCUUGACGGUAUCUGACCAGAAAGCCACGGCUAACUACGUGCCAGCCGCUGC